rnacentral:rRNA from 1 species
GUGCUAAGGUAGCAUAAUCAUUUGUUUUUUAAUUGAAAACUAGUAUGAAAGGUUUAACUAAAAAAAAUUUUUUUGUUAUUUAUAAAUAUGAAUUUUUAAUUGUAGUAAAAAUGCUUUAAUUUUACAAAGGUACAAUAAGACCCUAAAAAUUUUAUUUUAUUUUUUUAAUUGGGGUAAUUAUUGUAUUUAUAUUUAAAUUAAAUUUUUACAUAAUAAUGUUAUAAGAUCUUAAUAUUUAAGGAAAAUUGUAUAAAUUACUUUAGGGUUAACAGCAUUAUUAUUUAAAUGAGUUCGUAUCUAAUAAAUAAAUUAUGACCUCGAUGUUGAAUUAAAAAAUCUAUUUGAUAUAUAAAGUAAAAAAGAAAGUUUGUUCAACUUUUAUAUUUUUACAUGAUUUGAGUUCAAAYCGGUUUAAGCCAGA